rnacentral:lncRNA from 1 species
ACUUGUUUUGUCCAUAAUCUUACUCCACGAACAGAUAAGUUAGCUCCUCGUGCUCUUAAGUGCGUAUUUUUGGGAUUCUCGAAAACACAAAAGGGGUAUCGAUGCUACUCUCCUGACCUCCAGUGGUACCUUAUGUCCGCUGAUGUUACCUUCUUUGAAACCCAAUCAUACUUCACAGGUUCGGGUCAUCACUUAGAUAUUUCUGAGGUACUACCAGUUUCAUCUUUUGGAGAUUCAGUCACUCCAGCUCCACCACCUACAGCUCCAGUUGUAGCUCCACUACCUAUAGCUCCAGUUGUAGCUCUACCACCUAUAGCUCCAGUUCCACCACCUACAUCUCCGGUUGUAGCUCCACCACCUAUAGCUCCAGUUCCUCCACAUAAUUUAGUUCAACCUUCUGCAGCUCCACCACUCUUGACUUAUCAUCGUCGUCCACAUCCAGCAUCAGGCCCAGGUGAUUCACGCCCCGCAUCAGAUUCUGUACCUACUGCGGAUUUGUCUCCUCUUAGUCAACCAAUUACACUCCGCAAAAGUGUACGAUCCACACUUAAUCCUAAUCCCUACUAUGUCGGUUUAAGUUAUCAUCGUCUGUCGUCACCAUAUUAUGCUUUUAUAUCUUCUUUGUCCUCUGUUUUUAUCCC